rnacentral:misc_RNA from 1 species
AACUUUCGGCAACGGAUCUCUUGGCUCUCGCAUCGAUGAAGAACGCAGCGAAAUGCGAUAAGUAAUGUGAAUUGCAGAAUUCAGUGAAUCAUCGAAUCCUUGAACGCACCUUGCACCCUUUGGCAUUCCGAAGGGUAUGCUCGUUUGAGUGUCAUUGUACUCUCAUGCUCCCGAUGCUUUUGGAUCGGGAGUGGUGGACUUGGGUGUUGCUGCUUUACUGUGGCUCACCUCAAAUGGAGUAGUGCAACUCUUGGUUGGACAUAGUACGGCGUGAUAAGUGUCUUCGCCGGCGCCUCAUUAGAGGGUGGCCGAUCGGGAGCUCUGUGCUUCAAACCGUCUUCGGACAACAUCUGACAACUUGACCUCAAAUCGAGUAGGACUACCCGCUGAACUUAAGCAUAUCAAUAAGCGGAGGCU